rnacentral:rRNA from 1 species
UACGUAGGGUGCAAGCGUUAAUCGGAAUUACUGGGCGUAAAGCGUGCGCAGGCGGUGAUGUAAGACAGAUGUGAAAUCCCCGGGCUCAACCUGGGAACUGCAUUUGUGACUGCAUCGCUGGAGUACGGCAGAGGGGGAUGGAAUUCCGCGUGUAGCAGUGAAAUGCAUAGAUAUGCGGAGGAACACCGAUGGCGAAGGCAAUCCCCUGGGCCUGUACUGACGCUCAUGCACGAAAGCGUGGGAGCAAACAGG